GGGAAUGUGGCUUAGUGGUAGAGUGCUUGCUUAGCAUGCAUGAAGCCCUGGGUUCGAUUCCUCAGUACCA
rfam:Dipodomys ordii contig_13527, whole genome shotgun sequence.